rnacentral:rRNA from 2 species
UUAGGAAUCUUGCGCAAUGGGCGAAAGCCUGACGCAGCGACGCCACGUGACUGAUGAAGUCCUUCGGGAUGUAAAAGUCUUUUCUGAGGGAAGAAGGAUGUGACGGUACCUCAGGAAUAAGCCCCGGCUAACUACGUGCCAGCAGCCGCGGUAAUACGUAGGGGGCGAGCGUUGUCCGAAUUUACUGGGCGUAAAGCGCGCGUAGGCGGAUUUUUAAGUUGGGGGUGAAAUCCCGAGGCUCAACCUCGGAACUGCCUCCAAAACUGGAAGUCUUGAGGUAUGGAGAGGGAAGUGGAAUUCCUGGUGUAGCGGUGAAAUGCGUAGAUAUCAGGAGGAACACCCGUGGCGAAGGCGGCUUCCUGGCCAUAUCCUGACGCUGAGGUGCGAAAGCUAGGGUAGCGAACGGG